GCCCUUGCGCGGAAGCAGAGCGGGGAUAAGCGAGGGAGGAGGGAGAAACCGAAGAUGCUCCUGCUGCGCGGCGCCAGGGCGGCGUGGGCGGCAUCCACCGCGGUGGCCGCAGGCGCCAGCGGCGGCAGGUCCAUAUCCAUUCGGCUGAUCCCCGUCGCCGCAUUGUCCUCGGGCGGAAGGAAGAGGAAGGGCCAGCGGCGGGGCGAGGCCAAGCCCCCGAGCCCGCCGCCGCCACAGCCCCUGCCUCGGCAGAGCGAGACCCUGAGCAGCAAGAAGAAGUCUGGCGCGAAGCCGUCAGGCGAGGCCAAGAAGAGCCGCCGCCCAGUGGAGCUGGGAGAAGCGCGCGGCCCGCGGAGGCUGGAGGGCAGCGAGGCGAGGAAAGGGAAUGUGCAGCAGCAGCAGCAGCAAGAGAAGGCGAAGGCGAAGAGGCUGGUCCGGUGGAAGUGCGCGAGCGGAUGCGGCGCGUGUUGCAAGCUGGACAAGGGCCCCGACUUCCCCACUCCCGACGAGAUCUUUGCCGACCAUCCCGAUGACCUCCAGCUGUACAGGAGUAUGAUUGGCUCUGAUGGAUGGUGCGUCAACUACGACAAGGCCACCCGCACCUGCAACAUCUACCAAGACCGACCUUCCUUCUGCAGGGUGGAACCGAAGGUUUUUGAUGAGUUCUUUGGCGUGCCACGCAGCAGGUUUGACCGUGAAGCUUGCAGGUCUGCUACUCUGUCCUGGUUUACGUAUCUUCAUGUUCAAAAUGGUGAUUCGGUUUAUCUGAGAGUGUUGUCUUCAGUGCUUGUGUGGAUAACAUCAAGAUGGUGUACGGUGAUGACUCUACUGAGCUCAGUAAUUUCAAGCGUGUGAUAAGGGAGGAAAGUAACAAGCUGGAAAGCAAGAACCAAGAUAAAUUGUUGGAUGCAUAGAUCCUGCAUGGACCACAUUGCAUGUGAAGGUAAAACUGUGAAGUGAACAAUGCUCUUAGGUUAAGGUGGAAAAUGGAACAUCUUGAGUGCAAGCUUCAGUUCUGAGCACAUCCUCGAUUCUUUUAGUCAAGCUUGGUGUGUUCAGAAGUUUAUGGUGUUCUUUUUUAUAUACAUAGAAAAUUGUUUAGCAGGCAAGAGCAUUUCAGUUGGUUUGGUUGGUCCCAGACUUAUCAUUCGAUUGCAGUCCUAAUCUAACUCAAUUUUUUGCUGCGUGCCAAAAGUCAUAUCCCUGUUUCAUCAGUACUAUCAGAGAAAUGCUAGUUAUUUUAAUACUAAUAUUUAUCAAUCUUUCUCCACGCCA